rnacentral:rRNA from 1 species
GACGAACGCUGGCGGCGUGCUUAACACAUGCAAGUCGAACGUGAUUUUUGUGGAAAUUCUUUCGGGAAUGGAAGUGAAAUGAAAGUGGCGAACGGGUGAGUAACACGUGAGCAACCUACCUUACACAGGGGGAUAGCCGUUGGAAACGACGAUUAAUACCGCAUGAGACCACAGAAUCGCAUGAUAUAGGGGUCAAAGAUUUAUCGGUGUAAGAAGGGCUCGCGUCUGAUUAGCUAGUUGGAAGGGUAAAGGCCUACCAAGGCGACGAUCAGUAGCCGGUCUGAGAGGAUGAACGGCCACAUUGGAACUGAGACACGGUCCAAACUCCUACGGGAGGCAGCAGUGGGGAAUAUUGCACAAUGGGGGGAACCCUGAUGCAGCGACGCCGCGUGAGCGAAGAAGGUUUUCGAAUCGUAAAGCUCUGUCCUAUGAGAAGAUAAUGACGGUAUCAUAGGAGGAAGCCCCGGCUAAAUACGUGCCAGCAGCCGCGGUAAUACGUAUGGGGCGAGCGUUGUCCGGAAUUAUUGGGCGUAAAGGGUACGUAGGCGGUUUUUUAAGUCAGAUGUGAAAGCGUGAGGCUUAACCUCAUUAAGCACUUGAAACUGGAAGACUUGAGUGAAGGAGAGGAAAGUGGAAUUCCUAGUGUAGCGGUGAAAUGCGUAGAUAUUAGGAGGAAUACCGGUGGCGAAGGCGACUUUCUGGACUUUUACUGACGCUCAGGUACGAAAGCGUGGGGAGCAAACAGG